UGCCAGACUCCUACGGGAGGCAGCAGUGGGGAAUAUUGCACAAUGGGGGAAACCCUGAUGCAGCAACGCCGCGUGAGUGAAGAAGUAUUUCGGUAUGUAAAGCUCUAUCAGCAGGGAAGAAAAUGACGGUACCUGACUAAGAAGCCCUGGCUAACUACGUGCCAGCAGCCGCGGUAAUACGUAGGGGGCAAGCGUUAUCCGGAUUUACUGGGUGUAAAGGGAGCGUAGACGGCAGCGCAAGUCUGAAGUGAAAGCCCCGGGCUUAACCCGGGAAGUGCUUUGGAAACUGUACGGCUGGAGUGCUGGAGAGGUAAGCGGAAUUCCUAGUGUAGCGGUGAAAUGCGUAGAUAUUAGGAGGAACACCAGUGGCGAAGGCGGCUUACUGGACGGUAACUGACGCUGAGGCUCGAAAGCGUGGGGAGCAAACAGGAUUAGAUACCCCGGUAGUC
rnacentral:rRNA from 1 species